rnacentral:misc_RNA from 1 species
AAGUCGUAACAAGGUUUCCGUAGGUGAGUUUGGGCGUUUUCUCUCUCCUCUCACACUUAAGUACCUAAAAACAACCAACUAACAUUCUAUCUUCUAGGUGAACCUGCGGAAGGAUCAUUAAAGAGUAAGAGCCACUCGGGCUCGACCUCCAACCCUCUGUGUACCUACCUCAGUUGCUUUGGCGGGCCGCUGGGCCAAAAAGCCCCACCACUUGCCCAGGCCGGUGAGCGCCCGUCAGAGACCCUUCAAACCUUACCUCCCCUUGACGUCUGAGUAUCAUACAAUCGUUAAAA